CGUGACCAGAGACAGAGAAUCUUCGCUAUGGCCCACAUGCAGCUCCCGACAAAAGCCAAGGGCUGGCUCCGGAUCCGCAGCCUCCUGGUCCGACAAUGCAUGGCAGAGUUUCUGGGUGUGUUUGUGCUCAUGGUCUUCACCCAGAGCGCUGUGGCCCAGGCUGUCACCAGUGGAGAAAGGAAAGGCAACUCUCUCACCAUGUUUCUGGCUGGCUCUUUUGCUGUUGUGAUAGCCGUCUACGUGAGUGGUAAUGUCUCAGGGGCUCACCUGAAUCCAGCCUUUUCCCUGGCCAUGUGCCUCCUGGGACGCUUCCCCUGGGCCAAGCUUCCCAUUUACUCCUUGGUGCACCUAGUGUCUGCUUUCUGUGCCUCCGGAGCCACCUAUGCUCUCUACUAUGAUGCCCUGCAGAACUAUACAGGAGGGAACCUGACAGUGACUGGCCCUAAGGAGACAGCUUCCAUCUUUGCCACCUACCCUGCUUCCUAUCUGUCCCUGAAUAAUGGCUUCCUGGAUCAGGUCCUGGGCACCGGGAUCCUGCUUGUGGGGGUCUUGGCCAUCCUGGACACACGGAAUAAGGGAGUACCAGCAGGUCUGGAGCCUGUAGUGGUGGGGCUGCUGAUCCUGACCAUCGGGCUGUCCAUGGGUGUCAACUGUGGAUGCCCACUCAACCCUGCCAGGGACUUGGGCCCACGACUUUUCACCUACAUGGCUGGCUGGGGCCCUGAAGUCUUCAGUGCUGGUAAUGGCUGGUGGUGGGUGCCUGUGGUGGCCCCUAUGGUGGGGGCCACCCUUGGCACAGCCACAUACCAGCUGCUGGUGGCUCUGCACCACCCUGAGGAUUCAGAGCCAGCUCAGGAUCUAGAGUUGGUUCAACACAAAGCCUCAAAUUUGGGAAACAACUGACUCUGACUGGAUGCCACAGUGUAAGCUAUGAUUCUGACACAACAGUCCUACCUCCCUCAUGGACACUAAAGAGGGCCAGAGACCCAGACCUGGCGACAGCAGGCCCUGGGAAGCUUCUCUGUUUACUCACCUAGGCUUCCUCCUAAACUGGGGAGGAUGCCUGGACAGGGAGACCAGUAGAUAAGGUCCAGUCUUCAUCCUCUCCUCCCCCAAGCCUGUUUUGGUAUCCUGCGGGCUUCCAAGAACGCAGUUCCUCAAAGUGGCCGCCAGAGGGUGCGCAUCCUAGGAGCCGGAUCGGGAAAGCUGCGGGAAUCUGCAGGGUGAUGGGGGCCGACUGUCCGGUGGAGGGGCAUAACCCUGGGGACUUCUUCCCAAGCUUAGUCCCCACUGCCUGACUCCCAGGUCUCAUAACCGCAGCGCCUCUGCCCCUAGGUUCAGCCAGCCCCCAGAUAACAGCUCUCGUGCCCCUCCCCGAAGAAGAUUCCUUUUCAGCAAAGAAGACAGUUUUCUCCAGUUGCCUUUUUUUUAUUAAAACAAAUCUC